AGGGUUUGAUUAUGGCUCAGGAUGAACGCUGGCGGCGUGCUUAACACAUGCAAGUCGAACGGGGAACAUUUUAUGGAAGCUUCGGUGGAAAUAGCUUGUUCCUAGUGGCGGACGGGUGAGUAACGCGUGGGUAACCUGCCUCACACUGGGGGAUAACAGUCAGAAAUGACUGCUAAUACCGCAUAAGCGCACGGGAUUGCAUGAUCCAGUGUGAAAAACUCCGGUGGUGUGAGAUGGACCCGCGUUGGAUUAGCCAGUUGGCAGGGUAACGGCCUACCAAAGCGACGAUCCAUAGCCGGCCUGAGAGGGUGGACGGCCACAUUGGGACUGAGACACGGCCCAG
rnacentral:rRNA from 1 species